rnacentral:rRNA from 1 species
UACGUAGGGGGCGAGCGUUAUCCGGAAUUACUGGGCGUAAAGUGCACGCAGGCGGUUCGCCAAGUUUGGAGUGACAGUUGUCGGCUCAACCGACAAAGGACUUCAAAAACUGGUGAACUUGAGGACGAGAGAGGAACAUGGAACUCCAGGUGUAGUAGUGAAAUGCGUAGAUAUCUGGAAGAACACCAAUGGCGAAGGCAAUGUUCUGGCUCGUUUCUGACGCUCAGGUGCGAAAGCCAGGGGAGCGAACGGG